GGGGAUAUAGCUCAAUGGUAGAGCGCUUGCCUAGCAAGCGCAAGGCCCUGGGUUCGGUCCCCAGCUCCG
rnacentral:tRNA from 1 species